ACAUCAUUUGGCUGAAUGUAGUCCAUUUCAUUCUCCAAGGCUCAAUUCAAUUCAAAAACAUAUUUGCUUCCUUUAAUUUUCCAGUAAGAACUUUACUUAUUUAUAAUGACAGUUUCAUUCUUUUUUCUUAGAAGUAGUUCACCUACUUUUCAUUUGUUUCCUAUUACAGUGCCUAUUACAGUGUUUGUACUUAAAAACAAAGUACUUCCUGGAUUAAUUCAUGGAAUGAAAAAUAGGAAGUGAAUAUACUCAAACAGGAAACCAUGAUAUAUGUGUUGGCUUCUGAUUGUUGGGCUGACUUUUCCAAACUCGGCCACUUAAACCAAAGGUCAAACCAGGAACAGCUGACCUUACACAAGCCUUCAGAAUAAGGCCUUGCUCAGUGAGGCCUGAAGGUAAGGAAGAUCCCUUAAGUAUAUGAGUGGGCUUUCUCACACAUUGCCCUCCAAAAUCUUAUGAUUUUAUUGAGAUAGGUGAGCACAUUAUCCAACGCUUUCUUUGCAUAUUCAAAGACAGAACCUGAUUUUGCUUACUGUUUUGUUUUUGUUUUUGUUUUUUUCAAAUAAUGUGUUGACUUAAAACAGUAUGUUUUUCCCUAAGUCAUUCUUAACAGGUUAGAAACUAAAUUCUAUUUUCUAAAAUAUUUUCCAACACUUUAUUUAAAACUUUUCCAAACUAUUUCCUACGAUUUAGUUUCAGCUCUGUCUAUUUUCAAAAUACACUAGUGCUAAUAUUUUCCUUUCAGUUUUGCUCUGGUCAAGAGCAAAUAAUUUUAAAAUUAUUAGUAAAAGAAACCAGGUAAUAAACCAUGAUUUUUUAUAUCUUGGAGUAACACUUGUAACAUAAAUAUCAUUCAUCACUAGGAAAUUUUGAAAAAUUCCAUGUAGUUUAGUUUUGAAAUGAUUUCCUUUUUUCCCAUAAAUUCUUAUUUUAUUCUUAUCAUAGUUUAUUUGAUAUUAUCAUCUUUGCCAUUUUAUAUUUUUAAGUAUAAAAGUUUUACAUUUCCAGGUGGAAAUAAAAAUUUGUAUUAGUUAAAUAUAUUAUUUCAAGUGAAAUGAAAAUGUGUAUCCAACCCGUCCAUCUUUUUUUGUUUUUUUCUGCAUCUGUGGCAUAUGGAAGUUCCUGGGCCCUGGGCCAGGGAUCGAAUCCAAGAUGCAGAUGUGACCUUGCCAGAUCCUAAUCCACUGCACUGACCUGAGCUGCUGCAACGACAAGGCUGGAUCCUUAACCUGCCACACCACAGCAGGAACUCCCUCUAGUUCUUAUUUUACUUAAUGACGCAUCAUAUCUUGUCUUUCAUUAAUACUUUGUCUACUUGAAAAUUCAAAUAACUUGAUUUCAUUUUCUUUCAAUUUUUCUUAGUUUUGCUCUUUUAAUAUUUCCCUUUUCUAGGUUCUUUUAGAUGGAGACUUAAUGGUAGAAGUUACAUUUUGUUUACAAACAUAGACAUUUAGGUCAAUACAUUAUACCCUAAGUAAGAUCUAGAGAUAAGGCAUACCUCCUGUGAAAGGGUAUAUGUUUUUGUUUUUAGUUUUUUGUCCUUUCUUUUCCAACAUUUAAUGUAAAAAUUUUCACACAUACAGAAAGGUAAAAGAAUUUUAUAGUGAAUACUUACAUAACCAGCCCCUAGAUUUGAUAAUAUACAUCUCAUUAACACCUGCCUCAUUAGCUCUCUAUUCAUCUAUCCAUUCUCUGUCAACUCCAUCAAUCCAAUUUAUUUUUUGAUACAUGUCAAAUUUGCAGACUCAGUGCAUUCCACUCCUAAACAUUUUAGUAUGCAUUUCACUAACCAGAGUACAGUAGUUAUUUUUGGUUUUGCUUUAUUUGAGACAAACUUAUAUAUAAUGAAAUGCACAGAUCUUAAAUAGAUCAUCCUUUGAGUCCUGACAAAUGUAUAUACUCAGAUGAAUCCUAUCCCUAAUAAGAUAAACAGCCUUACUAGCACCCCCCGUAAAGUUUCCGCACACUUCUUCUCCAGCGAAUCUCAGCCCUAGAGCCAUAAGAAGCGGACUUUGUUAUGAUUUUUUUCCACGAUAGAUUUGUAUCUGUGGUUGUAAGAAAUCUUUUAAUAAAUAUUCUAGCCAUGUUAUUUUACAGAUGGGGAAUCUUAGGCUGUUAGAGGUGGGAAAAACCCACUUCAGUGCAGUCAAGACUCAGUCUCAGAUUUACAGACUCCAGAGCCAAUACUUUUUCCCAUUAUUUCACAAUGUAUGGUUGUUCUGAUUUCAUAAUAUUAUGGAAUGGGAAUGCACAAACUUUCCAUAAAGUCUGGAAACAAGAUAGUAUUUAAUUGUUUUAAACAGAAUGAGAUACAUAUUUUGAUGCUGGAAUAUGCUAAAAAUGAUGUUUUAUUUGGUGAAAAUGGGAGACACGUCAUAUGAGGCAAUACAUCACAGAUGCACAUGCAUGUUUUAGGGAAUGCUCUGUGAGCACGCUGUGUUCACUAUAAUUUUGCACAACAUCUGGAAGAAAAUGUAUUUUGUUGUAUUGCUGGUAAGAACAACAUACUGAACAUAUCAUGUGAUGUCACUGAACACACCACGCUUUGCAGUGUGAUUUCAAUAAUUUUUUAAAUGUAAUUUGUAUUUGUUUCUGAAUUUCAUAGAAACUGUAGCAUUUAGGAUUCUGAUUAUUGAUUUUAUACUAAGGAAAAUUUUCUUCCUAGAAUAUGAAUGUUUACUAACAAUUUUUGUGAAUGAAAAGAAAAUUUUUCUUUAUUACAACAAGAUGUUUUCCUCUGUCAAUUAAUUCAAUUUAUUAACUGAUCAGAGUAAUACUUUGUUGUUUACAUGACCUUCAGUAGCUUGGAAGCAGGGUGCUAAACAAAACUAUUAUAUUUCUACUUUUGUCUCUUAGUAAUCUCAUUGUAUACUUGUUUUCUAAUGAUGUUUAAAACAAAACUAUAGUAUCAAGUGAUUAAGUUUUAAUUUUACCAUUUUCACCAUUUUUGAGUUGGAGAGUGUUGGGCUGCACCUCAAAAGCCUUCAGGCCCUAUACUUGCCCAGCUUCAAGACCAAAGAAAGAGCCCAGAGUCAGCAGCAGAGAUAUCAAUGGUGUAAUGGAUAAGGGAGCUUAUACAUCUGAAGCAAGGCCUUGGAGUAACACCCCAUUGUGUGUGACAGACAGCAGGUGGGGCAUUGUAGCAGUCUUUGCUACCAGAAAGAUGCGGGGGAGGUUAUAAUUAUGAGGGGAAUUGAAGUCAAGUCCUCAGGGAACCAGGGAAACCAGCAGAGGAGCCCAACCUCAGUGAUCCUUUGAUAAGCUAUCAUGGUAGAGAUGUUUUGAUCUAAAGAUUAGAGCAAUCACUCUCUGGGGCUGGGGGUCAAGUAGGUAGGCAUUUACUGCUUAGGUUCAAUGAUAAAGAGGGUAGGUCAGUCAGGAGAUGGUGAGACAGAGACUGGUCAAGCAGGGGGAUGUACAGAGAGCAAGAGAACAGCCACCUUGAAUGAACUGUUUAUCACAGGGAGGAAGAAAUUUUCCCCUAACCUUCUUGGUUCUUCUGACUAAUUUAAGAAUUAAAUUGACAUGAGACAGGUUAACAGGAGAAAAUCAAACAAAAGUUUAGUAACACAUAAUCAUGAGAGAGACCCCCCCAAAAUGAGUAACUAGCUAAAAUGGCCAAAGCCUUCACAUUAAAUACCAUCCUCAGCUAAAGACAAAAGAGGAUGUUGAGGAUGUGGAGAAUCAGAUAUGGGGGUUACUAAGAGAACCACAGUAACAAAGGAUGAUUGUGAUACAGACCUAAGGCUUUGCCUUCUCCACUGAUAAGUGUUUCUAGAGAUUUUGUCAUCUUCCUCUUCCACGUACCAAAAGGGAAAUACCCUUAGAAAUGAAGUCUUUCCCUGGUCUGCUGUUUUUCAGAAAAAAA
rnacentral:lncRNA from 1 species